rnacentral:rRNA from 1 species
UAUAGAGGUCCCAAGCGUUGUUCGGAUUCACUGGGCGUAAAGGGUGCGUAGGUGGUCGGGUAAGUCUGAUGUGAAAUCUCCGAGCCUAACUCGGAAACUGCAUCGGAUACUAUUCGGCUUGAGGGUUGGAGGGGGGACUGGAAUACUUGGUGUAGCAGUGAAAUGCGUAGAUAUCAAGUGGAACACCAGUGGCGAAGGCGAGUCCCUGGACAACUCCUGACACUGAGGCACGAAAGCUAGGGGAGCAAACAGG